rnacentral:rRNA from 1 species
UACAGAGGUGCCGAGCGUUAGGCGGAAUCACUGGGCUUAAAGCGUGUGUAGGCGGAUCGUUAAGUGUCUUGUGAAAUCCCACGGCUCACCCGUGGAACUGCUGGGCAUACUGGCGAUCUUGGGCCAACUAGGGGCAACUGGAACAAGCGGUGGAGCGGUGAAAUGCGUAGAUAUCGCUUGGAACGCCAACGGUGAAAACAGGUUGCUGGGGUUGUGCCGACGCUGAGACACGAAAGCCAGGGGAGCAAACGGG